UCUAUACAGUGAAGUGUGAUGCAGUC
rnacentral:piRNA from 1 species